CCUCCCCACAGCCCCCCCCCCCUUAGCAGAGUUUAAGUUCGUGUUUUUUGCCAGUGGCCCAUGUCAUAUUUAUAUUGAGGUUUUGUCUGCUAAAAGAUUAAAAUUUGAAAAUGUUUCAAUAUGAAGAAAACAGAAUCCCCAAAGGGAAAAAUAUUCACAGAAUUACCUCUCUUCCAGUCAAGAAAACCUGUUGUGAUAAACAGUUCUCACCACCACCCCCCUUUAUUUUUUGCACUCUUUCCUUUUUCUUCCCAUUAAGUUCCUAUUUUGAAACCUGCUUGGUGAGAACUAAAGUCUUUGUGUUAAGCUCCCCUCCCCCUCCUUUCUUGCACCCCUCCUUCCUCCAAAGCGAGAAACUUAGUUAGACUGAAAGCAGAAAAGUACAAAUACAUUAACAAAGCCCCACUCACUUGAUAAAAAGGCCAUGGUCUAGGCUUACAUGUCAGAGCUCUAAGGGAAGGGAGAUCAAUCCGGUGGGUCUACAGACAAAAGACGAUGAACUAGAAAUUUCCCCCACCUAUGUGUAAUGUUUGAUAGAGUGUGUGGCUGAAGUGAAAGAGAAAGGCAGAUAGGUGAGAAUUACUUUGGAAUGCAUUGUGGCGUUGUGUGGCUUUUUCUCUGUGCCUCCUCUUAUUCAGCUUAUUCCAGCGGCCUCAUUAUAUACAGGUGCCCCUGCCCAUCAGACUCUUACAUAAGCCCUUGGUACACCACACACAUAGCCCUUUCCCUGGUCUUCUCAUUCCCAGCAAAUUAACUGAAGAGGGAACUGCAAAGGAACUUUGUGAGUGUGUAUUCCAUUUGGAAACUCAGGCCCUUCCUGGCAUCUCUGAGGACUUGUUCUUAAACAGACACUGGGUAUAAAAAAAGAAGAAAUUAACAGCACGUCUUAGAUAUUCAGUUCCCCUUCAUUAUUAUUUCUUUUUAAAUUACAAAAAGGCCCCCAAAGCUCUUUUUUUUUCCCUGCCUAGCUCUAUUCUUCUCUUAUUAGGUUCUACUCUAGCCUCAUUUUCUUUAUUCUCUUCUCUGCCUUACAUUUUGAAAGUUUCACUACCUUGCUUCCCACCAAGUCCCUGGGCCUGGAAUUCUCAAGUCUUUGGGUUUCUUGGGGCCUGGAGAACGCUCUCCAAUAUUGGUUCAGUGCCCUUCUCCACCUUACCAGACUUCAAAUUUGCAGGAGAGAGCAGUAGCAGAUCUGGCUAUUAACACACCACAGCUAAUUCUCUGCAGGAACUUUUACUACGUGGAAUGUGUGGAAGGAGAAAACAUCUGUAAACAGGAAAAAAUGCCCAAAGGGGAAGAAAGAAAUAGAAAGAAAGGAAAACCACAGACCAGUGUAAAAGCAACUCACAUUAGCCAAUCCGUUGAUAUUCUUUACCAAAGAAGGAAUGAAGCCAACAC